CAGGGGAUUUGCAUAUUGUCCCCUGGGGAGGACCUUCCCUUGAAAGUCUGAGAUAAAGGUCAGCUCUAGGCUUGUCUUUACUUACUAGGGCUCCUCAGCUCAGCUUCUCAAGAUGAGGUUCCCUUCUCAGCUCCUGGGGCUGCUGAUGCUCUGGAUCCCAGGAUCCAGUGGGGAUAUUGUCAUGACACAGACCCCACUGUCCCUGUCUGUCAGCCCUGGAGAGACUGCCUCCAUCUCCUGUAAGGCCAGUCAGAGCCUCCUGCACAGUGAUGGAAACACGUAUUUGAAUUGGUUCCGACAGAAGCCAGGCCAGUCUCCACAGCGUUUGAUCUAUAAGGUCUCCAACAGAGACCCUGGGGUCCCAGACAGGUUCAGUGGCAGCGGGUCAGGGACAGAUUUCACCCUGAGAAUCAGCAGAGUGGAGGCUGAUGAUGCUGGAGUUUAUUACUGCGGGCAAGGUAUACAAGAUCCUCCCACAGUGGUUCAGCCCUGAACACAAACCUCUCUG